UCUCUUCUAAAAAUGUUGAUAGGCUGUGGUUGUUACAAGUGAUUACGACAAUAGGAAAAUGAUUUACACUAAUGUCCAUCCAUCGUUUAUUACCAUUUUCAGUGGACAGUUAACGUUGCAUGUAUAGCCUAGUACUGAAGCAACACUUAAAAGCGUUCUGGCCCAUCGCAAAUCCAUGGACGUGAUCUCUUACCUGGUAAUAGACGUACUGAAGAAUACAUGAGAAUUAUCUUUUUAUUUCAAAUGGCGAUAACAGCAGCUCUCACUGUUCUCCUCACUCUCAUACAAGUUGCAUGUGGUCAGUUGGAAGAUGUAAUUAUUGAUCGAUACUUCAUACCAACACACUGUUCGAGAGAGGUUCAGGUCGGAGAUUAUGUUCGGUAUCAAUAUAACGGCACAUUCAAGGACGGACGGAAGUUUGAUUCCAGGUGAGUUAACUCAUUAUAGGACCUUUAUAUGCAGGGGAGCUCUGGACAUGUUAUCAGCUUCUUUUUCUGCAAGGCAUCAAUUUCAAUAGUACAAAAGGCAGGAUACUGAUUGCAAGACACUGGACAGACUUUAUGCUUUUACUGGUUGUCUGACUACAAAUUGCAGUGGCCUACAAUGUCAUUGUGAUACAGAAAAGAAAAGAAAAGAAAAGAAAAGA